ACCACCAACCACUACCAGCACCCAGCACCACCAGUACCACCAUCACUAGCACCACCACAGCUCAGGGACAACAUAGAUGAGGAGGUGGAAAAAGCUGGAAGAUGAAGAGUGCCAUGGAAUGCUGACUUUUGACAUGUUGUUAAUCCCAGCCUGCACUUGGGAGGCAAAGAUCUCGUGAAUUCAAGACAACCUUGGUCUAUAUAGCAAGUUCCAGACCCACCACAACUACCCAAUCACAAAAAUACUGAAAUACAAAGAAUCCUGUACACAUAAAGAAAAACUGUGGAUCCAUGUUUGUUGACAUUAUGUCUCUGUGCUGUGUACCUUUGUGCAUUUUUGGGGAGGUGGGUCUUCCUCACUCUCUUUCCAACUACUUUUUCAGACAGGGUCUCCCACCAAUUCAGCUAGACUGGACCCCCGCAAGGCCUGAGAUCCCCAUCUCUGCUUCCCAACCACUGGAUUUCAGAUUCCUGCCCCAUAAGUUUUAGGAAUCACAUUCAGAUCCUCAUGAUGACAGACAGAAGGCCGACUCACUCCAGAAACACUGCAGUGCUACAACAAGAAAUGAAGGCUGCUGAGAUUCUCCUUUAUAUGUUAACCAUGAGGUAAGAUCAGACAUGUUACUGCCGGCAGGCAUUGAAUGUAUAAGCAUCUGGGUGUAGAUCACAGGACAUAAAUAAA